rnacentral:rRNA from 1 species
AUACGUAGGGGGCAAGCGUUAUCCGGAUUUACUGGGUGUAAAGGGAGCGUAGACGGCGAUGCAAGUCUGAAGUGAAAACCCGGGGCUCAACCCCGUGGACUGCUUUGGAAACUGUGUUGCUGGAGUGCAGGAGAGGUGAGUGGAAUUCCUAGUGUAGCGGUGAAAUGCGUAGAUAUUAGGAGGAACACCAGUGGCGAAGGCGGUUCACUGGACUGUAACUGACGUGGAGGCUCGAAAGCGGGGGGAGCAAUCAGGAUUAGAUACCCUGGUAGUCCACGCCGUAAACGAUGAAUGCUAGGUGUCGGGGGGCAAAGCCCUUCGGUGCCGCCGCUAACGCAUUAAGCAUUCCACCUGGGGAGUACGUUCGCAAGAAUGAAACUUAAAGGAAUUGACGGGG